AGUUAACGCUUGCGGUAGUCCUAACACAUGCCAGUCGAACGGUAGCACAGUUAUAGCUUGCUCUUACUUGUGUCGAGUAGCGGCCUGGUAAGGAAUACAUCUGAAUCUACUUUUUCGUGGGGUCUAACGUAUGGUAACUUCCGCUAAUACCGCCUACGACCUACGUGUUAAAACAGGCUAUCUUCGGACCUUGCGCGCUUGAAUGAGCCGAUGUCGGAUUAGCUAGUUGGCGGGUUAAAGGCCCACCACGGAUACGAUACGUAGCUGGUCUGAGAGGAUGAUCAGACACACUGGAACUGAGACACGGUCCAGAAACCUACGGGAGGCAGCAGUGGGGAAUAUUGGACAAUGGGCGCAAGACUGAUCCAGCCAUACCGCGUGGGUGAAGAAGGCCUUCGGGUUGUAAAGCACUUUUGUUGGGAAAGAAAAGCAGCAGGUUAAUACCCCGCUGUUCUGAAGGUACACAAAGAAUAAGCACCGGCUAACUUAGUG
rnacentral:rRNA from 1 species